rnacentral:piRNA from 1 species
UGAAGCUUCUCACAUCGUUGUUGGGGAUGUU